rnacentral:rRNA from 1 species
AAACCAGCACCUCAAGUGGUCAGGAUGAUUAUUGGGCCUAAAGCAUCCGUAGCCGGCUCUGUAAGUUUUCGGUUAAAUCUGUACGCUCAACGUACAGGCUGCCGGAAAUACUGCAGAGCUAGGGAGUGGGAGAGGUAGACGGUACUCGGGAGGAAGGGGUAAAAUCCUUUGAUCUCUCGAUGACCACCUGUGGCGAAGGCGGUCUACCAGAACACGUCCGACGGUGAGGGAUGAAAGCUGGGGGAGCAAACCGGAUUAGAAACCCCAGUAGUCC